rnacentral:rRNA from 1 species
CUGCGAAUGGCUCAUUAUAUAAGUUAUCGUUUAUUUGAUAGUACCUUACUACUUGGAUAACCGUGGUAAUUCUAGAGCUAAUACAUGCUGAAAAUCCCGACUUCGGAAGGGAUGUAUUUAUUAGAUUAAAAACCAAUGCCCUCUGGGCUCCUUGGUGAUUCAUAAUAACUUUUCGAAUCGCACGGCCUUGCGCCGGCGAUGGUUCAUUCAAAUUUCUUCCCUAUCAACUUUCGAUGUUUGGGUAUUGGCCAAACAUGGUCGCAACGGGUAACGGAGGGUUAGGGCUCGACCCCGGAGAAGGAGCCUGAGAAACGGCUACUACAUCCAAGGAAGGCAGCAGGCGCGCAAAUUACCCAAUCCCGAUUCGGGGAGGUAGUGACAAUAAAUACUGAUACAGGGCUCUUUUGGGUCUUGUAAUUGGAAUGAGUACAAUUUAAAUCUCUUAACGAGGAACAAUUGGAGGGCAAGUCUGGUGCCAGCAGCCGCGGUAAUUCCAGCUCCAAUAGCGUAUAUUAAAGUUGUUGUGGUUAAAAAGCUCGUAGUUGAACCUUGGGCCUGGCUGGCCGGUCCGCCUCACCGCGUGUACUGGUCCGGCCGGGCCUUUCCCUCUGUGGAACCUCAUGCCCUUCACUGGGUGUGGCGGGGAAACAGGACUUUUACUUUGAAAAAAUUAGAGUGCUCCAGGCAGGCCUAUGCUCGAAUACAUUAGCAUGGAAUAAUAAAAUAGGACGUGUGGUUCUAUUUUGUUGGUUUCUAGGACCGCCGUAAUGAUUAAUAGGGACAGUCGGGGGCAUCAGUAUUCAAUUGUCAGAGGUGAAAUUCUUAGAUUUAUUGAAGACUAACUACUGCGAAAGCAUUUGCCAAGGAUGUUUUCAUUAAUCAGGAACGAAAGUUAGGGGAUCGAAGACGAUCAGAUACCGUCGUAGUCUUAACCAUAAACUAUGCCGACUAGGGAUCGGACGAUGUUAUUUUUUGACGCGUUCG